rnacentral:rRNA from 1 species
GCCUACGGGGGGCUGCAGUGGGGAAUUUUGGACAAUGGGCGCAAGCCUGAUCCAGCCAUGCCGCGUGCAGGAAGAAGGCCUUCGGGUUGUAAACUGCUUUUGUACGGAGCGAAAAGCCCCUGGCGAAUAACCUGGGGUCAUGACGGUACCGUAAGAAUAAGCACCGGCUAACUACGUGCCAGCAGCCGCGGUAAUACGUAGGGUACAAGCGUUAAUCGGAAUUACUGGGCGUAAAGCGUGCGCAGGCGGUUUUUUAAGAUAGAGGUGAAAUCCCCGGGCUCAACCUGGGAACUGCCUUUGUGACUGCAAAGCUGGAGUGCGGCAGAGGGGGAUGGAAUUCCGCGUGUAGCAGUGAAAUGCGUAGAUAUGCGGAGGAACACCGAUGGCGAAGGCAAUCCCCUGGGCCUGCACUGACGCUCAUGCACGAAAGCGUGGGGAGCAAACAGGAUUAGAUACCCUGGUAGUC